rnacentral:lncRNA from 1 species
GCUUCAUGGUGUCAAGUGUGUUAGCAAAAUAUGCAAUAAUCAGAAGAAUAAAACAAAGAGUCAUUCUCGACAAUAAUGGCAUUUACUAAUGCAAACAUCUCAGUUUGGGGGGUUGAAAACUAGUGCCCCCAAGGUGAAAAUCUCAAAGAGUACCAGCGGUCCGGUGAGACCUGUCAGCCAGUCACCCAUCUUCUCCAGGCCCCCCAUCUUCUCCAGGCCCGAGUCCUCACUGGGUAGGUCCUCUGCUUUGGAGGUGAUCAACAGGGUGAUGGAGGACUCUAUUCAGCCCUCAUAGAGGCUCUACAUGUUCAGAGACCAGGACAAACAGACAGAGAGAGACCAUCCCAGGACUGGUGCAUCAUUUACAGACACAAGCGCUAUCUAAUCUUACCCUGGAGUUUGACUGUGGUGACCAAGAAGACCUCCCCAACACCCCAUCUCCAUCAGGGUCUCAGGUUCCAGGAUCCAGGCCCCUGUUUUUCCACUGGGGGUUUGAGACCAGAGGAGAGGGAAGAAGAGGAGGAGUAUGACGAAGAAGCCAGUGAGGUCCACAGGAUGAUGGUUUAGACCAGAGCUGUGAUCUCACUCCUGCUGACCCCCUACUGAACAGUACUGUACACAGCAGCGUCAGUCUACGCCUCUCACAAGGCUCCCUAGAGAGACUAGACAUCACCAACACGGAGGAAGAGGAGAGGAGCUCGGGUCUAUCUGAGGGGCCAGCUUAUGAUAUGGUUCUAGAGUAUUUGGCUUGCCAGUACCCGAUAUCGUGAGAUAGACUGUGGAUGCCUGACAACCUGCAGCAGAGCCCCCCUGAACCCAGACAGUGAGUGGGAUCUGGGAGGUAGUGUGAGUUUGGCUUGUCUCCUGCUCCUCUGUUGUCAAGACCCAGUCCCAGAGCAUCAUAGACCCUCACCACAUCCCAGAGGACAGUGAGACCAGAGACAGACAGUGGGUUUGGGAGCUCUGAUCUGAGUCGCCCAGCCACAGGACGAUCCCAACCAAAACUUCAUACAGAAAGGCUCCAGUUCCAGUCUGAUGGGGCCUCCAGUCCUGUGAGAAUGAGUGACAGCGAAGGCUCCUGCUCCAACCUGCAGACCACUAUCCAUCUGACUGGGGAUAUUGGAGAGAGGAGACCCAGUCUGCAGACCACUAUCCAUCUGACUGGAGAUAUUGGAGAGAGGAGACCCAGUCUGCAGACUACUAUCCAUCUGACUGGGGAUAUUGGAGAGAGGAGACCCAGUCUGCAGACUACUGUCUAUCUGACUGGGGAUAUUGGAGAGAGGAGACCCAGUCUGCAGACCACUAUCCAUCUGACUGGGGAUAUUGGAGAGAGGAGACCCAGUCUGCAGACUACUAUCCAUCUGACUGGAGAUAUUGGAGAGAGGAGACCCAGUCUGCAGACCACUAUCCAUCUGACUGGGGAUAUUGGAGAGAGGAGACCCAGUCUGCAGACUACUGUCUAUCUGACUGGGGAUAUUGGAGAGAGGAGACCCAGUCUGCAGACCACUAUCCAUCUGACUGGAGAUAUUGGAGAGAGGAGACCCAGUCUGCAGAUGCCUCCUCAGUUGUGCAGGACUGCAGUGGACUACUGGCUGACCAGACCUACUCAGAGUGUACCUGUUAAACUGCAUGUGAGGCGAUGCAGGUCCUACAUUCGGAGGUGUCCCAACUGAGGAGAGACCUGGAAGAGGGUCUGGUCCAGCUGCCUCACCUCUCCCAGAGGAUGGACUACCUUACCUCCAGAUACAGACAGAACAGAAGGCUUAAAACCUCUCCCAGAGGAUGGACUACCUUACCUCCAGAUACAGACAGAACAGAAGGCUUAUAACCUCUCCCAGAGGAUGGACUACCUUACCUCCAGAUACAGACAGAACAGAAGGCUUAAAACCUCUCCCAGAGGAUGGACUACCUUACCUCCAGAUACAGACAGAACAGAAGGCUUAAAACCUCUCCCAGAGGAUGGACUACCUUACCUCCAGAUACAGACAGAACAGAAGGCUUAAAACCAAGCUGUUGAUUCCUGCUAGUGCCAAUGUGUAAUUUAGUAUUAGUUCGGUUUGCAUGUAAUUGAGAUAUUGCUUAUAUUAGCAUGUAAUGUUAGUCAUUGUAAAUGUAAUCUUGGUUAACCCAGAACUAAAGUCUUACGUUAUUGGUCAGAUGCUCAAUGAAGUUCUUGGUCCAUACAUGUUAAGAGAAGUGAUGAAGAGAUGCUAGAAUGAGGAGUGGAACCAGAGUGAGGAGCUCCACCCUCUCUCUUUGUAUAGACAGUGUGGAGUCGGACCGCUCUGAGAACAUGCUGCCAUUCCACAGUACACCACUAGGUGUCAGGAGAGGGAGCAGCAAGCCCUACUCCUGCUAGGACAGACCAGGGAAAACCCAAAGCAAAAAACCCUCCAAUACAGUUUGCAGAAUUUGCCUUAAAGUUAUCUUCGGUGGUCCUGAAGGUAGUUGUGUGUGCUUCUCCAUCCAUCUUACCAUCCGAGAACUGUUCUCUGGAGACCUCCAAUCUCACCCACUCCAGUCCUCCAGCAUUCCAGCACUCAUACAAGAACCCAAGCUACAGAUCUCCAUGUAAGGACCAGCAACCAGUCCACUCCUGCCCAUAUGACACUGUCAUGACUGGGCCUCAUCAUGACUACUUUAUUCAUUUCAUUAUCACGUCACAAUUUAAAGAUGCACUAUGCAGAAAUCAAAGGCCAAGGAGAAGAA